UACGAAGGGGGCUAGCGUUGUUCGGAUUUACUGGGCGUAAAGCGCACGUAGGCGGAUCUUUAAGUCAGAGGUGAAAUCCCAAGGCUCAACCUUGGAACUGCCUUUGAUACUGGGGAUCUUGAGUCCGGGAGAGGUGAGUGGAACUGCGAGUGUAGAGGUGAAAUUCGUAGAUAUUCGCAAGAACACCAGUGGCGAAGGCGGCUCACUGGCCCGGUACUGACGCUGAGGUGCGAAAGCGUGGGGAUCAAACAGG
rnacentral:rRNA from 1 species